AUUAAGUGUGACGGCGUGCGUUUUGAAGUAUGAGCCGGAGAGUUAUUGCAAGUUGCAAAGUUAAGUUGUAAAAGAUGGAGCUGAAGCGAAAGCGAGUCUUAAUAGGGCGUUUUAGUAGGUUGCAAUAGACCCGAAAGGGGACGAGCUAGCCAUGAGCAGGUUGAAAUUUGAAUAAUAUCAGAUGGAGGACUGAACCGACUGUCGUUGAAAUGAUAGCGGAUGACUUGUGGCUAGAGGUGAAAUUCCAAUCGAGUUCCCUGAUAGCUGGUUUUUGUCGAUAUAGUUUUAGGACUAGCGUCAAGUAAAUUUGCGACCGGAGGUAAAGCACUGAAUCUAUGAGGGCGUCUCGCGAUGUACCAAAUAGAAUCAAACUCUGAAUUCCGGUUGCACUACCUUGGCAGUGAGACUAUUUGGGAUAAGCUUUAUAGUCGUGAGGGAAAGAGCCCAGACCAACAAAUAAGGUCCCUAAAUCAAGCUAAGUGGAAAAGGAGGUCAAAAUUCAUAAACAGCUAGGAUGUUGGCUUAGAAGCAGCCACCAUUUAAAGAGUGCGUAAAAGCUCACUAGUCUAGUUUUUUGGCGCCACAAGUAUAACGGGGCUAAGCUUGAUACCGAAUUUUUGGAUGAAUAACUAGAAGUUUUUACAUGGUAGACAAAUGUUGUAUAGGGGUUGAAGCCUGAGCGUGAGCACGGGUGGACUCUAUACAAGUAAGAAUUCCGGCGUGAGUAACGAAUGAAAGUGAGAAUCUUUCUAGCCGAUUGAUCAAGGUUUCCGGGGCUAGGUUCGUCCUCCUCGGGUUAGUCGAUCCUAAGGCGAGGUCGAAAGACGUAGUUGAUGGACAAUGGGUUAAUAUUCCCAUACUACCUUAGAUGGCUGAUGGGCUGACAAAAGAGGUUAAGGUAAGGGGGUUACUGGAUUCCCCUUCAAGAGUUCGAGCAGGCUAGGCAGGAAAAUCCGCUUGGCAUUCAAACUGUAAGGCUCGAGUACGAUCCUCGCCAGCGAUGGCGGGGAGAGUUACACUUAGUCAUAUUUUCCAGAAAAGGCUCUAAGACUCAAACCAUCUAGGGUAAUCGUACCGAUAACGAACACACGUGAUCAAGGAGAAUAUCCUAAGGCUAGCGAGCUAACUACAGUUAAGGAACUCUGCAAAUUAACUCUGUAACUUCGGGAGAAAGAGUGCCCGCGGUGGAACUGUGGGUCACAGUAAAGAAUGAGGGCGGACUGUUUAACAAAAACACAGCUAUAUGCAAAAUUCAAACAUGAAGUAUAUGUGGCGACACCUGCCCGGUGCCAGAAGGUCAAAGAAGGAGGUCAGACCAGCCUGGAGC
rnacentral:rRNA from 1 species